rnacentral:lncRNA from 1 species
UCUUCUUCCAUAUCUGCUUUAUCAGGGAGCCGAGAGAUCUUGCAGAGGAGGAAAGAAGUAACCAUCCAUGUUAACCUCAGCAGAGUCCAAGUUUUGCAUUUUUGGACUAUGACACUCUAACAACAGUCAUGAUUGGCUGCCUCAUCACCUGAACUUCAAGAUGUGAAUUUCUUUCUAUUACGUUUUGGGGGGUGUAUGUUAUUUUUAUAAUAAGAGAUGAUCAUGUUUCUGUCAGAAAUCUGUGGCUUUUUAUUGUGAAGU